ACUCCUACGGGAGGCAGCAGUGGGGAAUCUUGCGCAAUGGGCGAAAGCCUGACGCAGCGACGCCGCGUGCGGGAAGAAGGCCUUCGGGUUGUAAACCGCUUUCAGGAGGGACGAAGCCACUCGGGUUAAUAGCCCAGAGGGUGACGGUACCUCCAGAAGAAGCCCCGGCUAACUACGUGCCAGCAGCCGCGGUAAU
rnacentral:rRNA from 1 species